UUUACUGAUUGCCGCAUCCAACAUCCAAAGUAUGAAAAACAUCACGUAGCUAGCGGUCAACAGCACGAUGACAAUUGUGAUUAAUCCCGUAAAAGCGUAAUUACAGAUUAUACUUUGUUGUUCAUUCUUUCAGCUCGAUCCGGUACAAAGCGGAAAGCGUUAUCAUCGUAUGUUUCUUGAUUGUUUUGUCUGUAGACUCUGCAUAAACUUUGAAUCUGUGUUGUAAUAGUUUAAGACUCGUAAAAAGCAACUGCGCCAAAUUGGCUUUCCUGAUAUUCUUUUGCGAGUGUAGAAAAAUAUUAUCAACGGCGUUUUGCUUCUGGUUUCUAAAUGAAGGCCGAUCAGGCGAUUAAAUUUGGUUUUUCCUUCUUUUUUUUUAUGCUUUUUGUUUGAUUUUUUUUUCCUUGCUGUUUGCAGAGUGCAGACGACUUUGUUGUGUUUGGCAGAUAUCAUACGAGACAGUUGACAGCAGCCAGGAGUGACGGAAGGAUAAUAAUCUCUGCUCUUGAUAAGGAGAUUGAAUUUUCAUUCACGACCGGAAAAUAUGUUGAAAUUUGAAAGUGGAUGUGGCCGACAGCUGACUCACGGGAGCACCGGUGGUUUCCUUUGAUUGAUCAAGAUAUUAGGAUCGUCGCAGGAUUGUGUGGUCGGUAAUAUCCAACCGACUUCAAGGUCUCUCAAGAAAAAGAUUAUUAUUCUUUAGGUUAUUAUAAGGUCGGCAAUUCGAUUGGAAAGUUUCAAGAUUGAUAAUCGAAAUUCAAAUCUGCCUAUCGUUCGCAUGGUGACAUUGAAAAUGUGAACACCAGAUGGAGGUCCCUGUGUGUACAGCACUUAUAUUUAGCUAAUUGGCUGAGUUGCUGAGAUAUUAAUAUUAUGAUGGAACUCACGUCGGUCUGCAUGUCCAUGGCCAAUUCAAAACUCAGCAUGUAAUGUUUUACAAAAGUGUAAAUAUAAAUUGCUAGUUGAAACCAGCAUUUGUCAUAAAAGUCUUUCCACUUAAAGAUUUCUUUUGUUUCUCAAAAAUCGUCAAUGUGUUAAAAACCGGUGUGUUAUUCCCUCUUUACACGUGGCUGAAACAAAAAGAAGUCGAGGAAAUGAAAAAACUAAACACCCCUGGAUUCCCAGAUAAAACUGGUUGAAGCAAUAUAUGUUUUAGCAUCCGAUUGUUUCGCCUAACUUGAUCUUCUCUUUCGCUGAUAGCGGUACAGUUUGACUGUCGAAGUUGCCUCUGCUACUGAUGGAGAAGCACCUGACAGUGAAUUCAAACAUCAAUGAUUUGGUGUCAACCACACCCUUAAGCUGAGCUAGUGUAGGCUGAAGCUACUGUAUAUAUGUUUUGCCUGAGCAGAAAUUCUAAUCUCUAUUCUACACAUGGACCAACGCUAAACACAGUUCCCAUCAGUUAAGACAUAAUGAUUGGGUGCAUGUUUGAAGUAAAAAUAACAUUUUCUGUACAUCUUAACAUAAUCUUAUAUUUCCCUAUUCAGCAUCUGUUUUAAUUUGUUUGUACCUACAGGCGCAUUUGAGUGGGUGUUUGAUAAUGUAAAUGAUGUGCAAUCAGUGUAAGAGUUUCCCUUCAGUCCCACUGAUUUAAGUUUUAAAUUGUGACAUGUAAAUUGCUUUCUUUGUUAACAAACUUUUUUGUAUUUCACAGAAUAAGCUUUCGAUACAGGACACACCCAUAGAUGUGGAGCGGAAUUGGGGCCGUGCAACCUUUUCUCCUCCGAUCCCAUCCAUUCUUCCCUUUUUAGCUUAAUUCCUCCGUCCUCGUAUACACAUUCGUGUGAUUGUAAAUUCACGGCGAUAUCGCUUCCUCGUAUACUCCUUCCUGUGAUGCUUUAAUGGAUACAUCCGUACCAAGACUGUCUACGGGGAAUUUGCCGUCAACUGAAGGUAACGGCUCAAAAUUGCGCAAGUGGGCGAGGUAUUGAGCCCGUUUUGUUGUUUGCCGUUAGGUGUUUUUUUUUUCUUUUUGAAUUUUUUUGCUGGUAUUGAACUACUGGGAAAAUAGAACAGCGGAAUAAUUCAAUUAGGUCGAACUUGUUUAAGCUUCCGAGAUCUUCUUAGACCCGUGACUUUUUUUCUUUCUAAUUUUUUAUCCCAGGGCUGGCGUAAUGUUUCUCUUUUUUAUUGUUCCCGUUUAACAUUUAACUAGAGCAUUCUAUUUUCUUCGCAUUACUUUGCAAUCUUUCAUUCUACGCAGGCAUACCAAACGUCACUCUUCAAUUCGAGAGAUCGGCCUUGCACUUGGCCGCUGCACGUAUCGGUCAUUUUGCAUUUGAAUCAUUAACUAAUCGUUAAAUUAUUACUGGGCUUCUUCGAAUAGAGAAAGAAUAAGUUGUCGUGUGUGUCUUUACAACAUCCGAAAUAAUAAGAACACUUUCAAAAUUGUCUUUAUUUACCGAAGUGUGAAUUUGUCAUGCCUCUAGCCACGCAAUUCAUUUAUUUAUUCUGGCAAAACGAAGAAUGUUGCACCGUAUGCUGAUGGUAAAAUUUCUUAGGGAACGAAGGGAUUUGCAUAUCAGCUUUUCGAUUGAUUAAAGUAAGACAAGCGAAAGCAAU